GUGAGGGCACAGCAUUCCACCCCUCUGGAGGAUGCAAAAACAAGACACCAUCUUGGAAGUGGAGAUCAGCCCUCACCAGACACCAAACCUGCCAGCAACUUGAUCUUGGACUUCCCAGCCUCCAGAACUAAAGUUUGCCAGCCCCUGCUUCAUUUGAAGGAAACUGAAGCUCAGACACAUUCAGUGACUCGCAAGUUAACUUUGGAGAGAAGAUUGCAUCCACUGUCUGCCUAGCACGUCCUGCUCUUGCAACGAAGAACACUUUUAACCUGCAUCAUCCUGUCAUCCCAGCUUGCAAAGGAACAGGCAGAAGUUUCUUCCAACCUGUUACCUGAGAAUUUCAAAAUCAUACCUCGUGUCUGCCAAACAAGACUGCCAGCUUCUCAAAGCAAGAACUAUACUGAGGAGAAUGUGACUUCCUGUUUGAAAUGGAGGAGGGCUUUGUCCCAACACAUGAUGAUCUUCACAGGCCGGCAUUCUGGUCUCUUCAUUACACAGGAGUGACGCCUGAAGCUGAAGCGAUUAACACAAUGUUACACAACCGAAAGCUGAGGCAAGGGGCCAAAGUGGAGCCAUGAUAAACAAAGGCUGACCAUAAGAAAGAUACCAGUACACCCCCAGGAAGCCAGCCGAUUCUCUGGUGAUGAGUGAUGCCGGGAACAGCAGACUGGACAUCUAUGGGCAUCUGAUGGCCACUUUAAAGCACUCAAAGAGAGGUAAUGAGUGAGUUCACGUGAGAACUGGUUGUUUAAAAGAGCACGGCACCUCCUCCUCUCUUGCUUCCUUUCUCACCAUGUGACGCACCAGCUCCCCUUCCACUUGCACAAUGUUUGGAAGCUCCUGGAAGCCCUCACCAGAAACAGAUGCUGAUGCCAUGCUUCUUGUACAGCCGUGGAAUCAUAAUCCAAAUAAACCUUUUUUCUUUAUAAAUUGCCCAGUUUCAAGUAUUCCUUUAUGGCAAUACAAACAGACCAAGACACCUAGUAUGCUUAGAGUUUUGCUUACC